rnacentral:rRNA from 1 species
GACGAACGCUGGCGGCGUGCUUAACACAUGCAAGUCGAACGGAAAGGCCCUGCUUUUGUGGGGUGCUCGAGUGGCGAACGGGUGAGUAACACGUGAGUAACCUGCCCUUGACUUUGGGAUAACUUCAGGAAACUGGGGCUAAUACCGGAUAGGAGCCCCUGCUGCAUGGUGGGGGUUGGAAAGUUUCGGCGGUCGGGGAUGGACUCGCGGCUUAUCAGCUUGCUGGUGGGGUAGUGGCUUACCAAGGCUUUGACGGGUAGCCGGCCUGAGAGGGUGACCGGCCACAUUGGGACUGAGAUACGGCCCAGACUCCUACGGUAGGCAGCAGUGGGGAAUAUUGCACAAUGGGCGGAAGCCUGAUGCAGCAACGCCGCGUGCGGGAUGACGGCCUUCGGGUUGUAAACCGCUUUCGCCUGUGACGAAGCGUGAGUGACGGUAAUGGGUAAAGAAGCACCGGCUAACUACGUG